rnacentral:rRNA from 1 species
GAUGAACGCUGGCGGCGUGCCUAAUACAUGCCAGUCGAGCGAACGGACGAGAAGCUUGCUUCUCCGAUGUUAGCGGCGGACGGGUGAGUAACACGUGGAUAACCUACCUAUAAGACUGGGAUAACUUCGGGAAACCGGAGCUAAUACCGGAUAAUAUUUUGAACCGCAUGGUUCAAAAGUGAAAGACGGUCUUGCUGUCACUUAUAGAUGGAUCCGCGCUGCAUUAGCUAGUUGGUAAGGUAACGGCUUACCAAGGCAACGAUGCAUAGCCGACCUGAGAGGGUGAUCGGCCACACUGGAACUGAGACACGGUCCAGACUCCUACGGGAGGCAGCAGUAGGGAAUCUUCCGCAAUGGGCGAAAGCCUGACGGAGCAACGCCGCGUGAGUGAUGAAGGUCUUCGGAUCGUAAAAUUCUGUUAUUAGGGAAGAACAUAUGUGUAAGUAACUGUGCACAUCUUGACGGUACCUAAUCAGAAAGCCACGGCUAACUACGUG